rnacentral:rRNA from 1 species
AACGCGAAGAACCUUACCUGGGCUCGAAAUGUAGAGGACGAUAUCAGAGAUGAUAUUUCCCGAAAGGGUCUUUACAUAGGUGCUGCAUGGCUGUCGUCAGCUCGUGCCGUGAGGUGUUUGGUUAAGUCCAGCAACGAGCGCAACCCUUAUCGUUAGUUGCCAACGCGUGAAGGCGGGAACUCUAACGAGACUGCCUGGGUUAACCAGGAGGAAGGUGAGGAUGACGUCAAGUCCGCAUGGCCUUUAUGUCCAGGGCUACACACGUGCUACAAUGGUCGGUACAAUAGGCAGCGAAACCGCAAGGCGGAGCAAAUCCUAUAAAACCGAUCUCAGUUCAGAUUGUAGACUGCAACUCGUCUACAUGAAGUUGGAAUUGCUAGUAAUGGCGUGUCAGCAACAACGCCGUGAAUACGUUCCCGGGCCUUGUA